AGAGUUUGAUUCUGGCUCAGGAUGAACGCUGGCGGUGUGCCUAAUACAUGCAAGUCGAUCGGGCGUAGCAAUACGUCAGAGGCGUACGGGUGAGUAACACGUAGGUAACCUACCUUUAAGACUGGGAUACCCAGACGAAAGUUUGGCUAAUACCGGAUAACAACAUUUGAGACAUCUCUUUUGUUUGAAAGGCGCUGCAAGGCGCCACUUUUUAGAUGGACCUGCGUCGCAUUAGCUAGUUGGUGAGAUAAAAGCCCACCAAGGCUGGGAUGCGUAGCCGAUCUGAGAGGAUGACCGGCCACAAUGGGACUGAGACACGGCCCAUACUCCUACGGGAGGCAGCAGUAGGGAGUUUUCGGCAAUGGGGGAAACCCUGACCGAGCAACACCGCGUGAGUGAUGAAGGUCUUCGGAUCGUAAAGCUCUGUUACGAGGGACGAAUGAUCGCUUUAGGAAAUGAGAGCGGUUUGACGGUACCUCGCCAGAAAGCGACGGCUAACUACGUGCCAGCCGCGGC
rnacentral:rRNA from 1 species